rnacentral:rRNA from 1 species
GUGGGGAAUUUUGGACAAUGGGCGAAAGCCUGAUCCAGCCAUGCCGCGUGCAGGAUGAAGGCCUUCGGGUUGUAAACUGCUUUUGUACGGAACGAAAAGACUCCUUCUAAUAAAGGGGGUCCAUGACGGUACCGUAAGAAUAAGCACCGGCUAACUACGUGCCAGCAGCCGCGGUAAUACGUAGGGUGCAAGCGUUAAUCGGAAUUACUGGGCGUAAAGCGUGCGCAGGCGGUUAUAUAAGACAGAUGUGAAAUCCCCGGGCUCAACCUGGGAACUGCAUUUGUGACUGUAUAGCUAGAGUACGGUAGAGGGGGAUGGAAUUCCGCGUGUAGCAGUGAAAUGCGUAGAUAUGCGGAGGAACACCGAUGGCGAAGGCAAUCCCCUGGACCUGUACUGACGCUCAUGCACGAAAGCGUGGGGAGCAAACAGGAUUAGAAACCCGGGUAGUCC